rnacentral:rRNA from 1 species
UACGAAGGGGGCUAGCGUUGCUCGGAAUCACUGGGCGUAAAGGGUGCGUAGGCGGGUCUUUAAGUCAGGGGUUAAAUCCUGGAGCUCAACUCCAGAACUGCCUUUGAUACUGAGGAUCUUGAGUACGGGAGAGGUGAGUGGAACUGCGAGUGUAGAGGUGAAAUUCGUAGAUAUUCGCAAGAACACCAGUGGCGAAGGCGGCUCACUGGCCCGUUACUGACGCUGAGGCACGAAAGCGUGGGGAGCAAACAGG